rnacentral:rRNA from 1 species
GACGAACGCUGGCGGCGUGCUUAACACAUGCAAGUCGAACGGAGAGGCCCUGCUUUUGUGGCGUGCUCGAGUGGCGAACGGGUGAGUAACACGUGAGUAACCUGCCCUUGACUUUGAGAUAACUUCUGGCAACUGGGGCUAAUACCGGAUAGGAGCUCCUGCUGCAUGGUGGGGGUUGGAAAGUUUCGGCGGUUGGGUAUGGACUCGCGGCUUAUCAGCUUGUUGGUGGGGUAGUGGCUUACCAAGGCUUUGACGGGUAGCCGGACUGAGAGGGUGACCGGCCACAUUGGGACGGAGCUGCGGCCCAGACUACUACGGGAGGGAGCAGUGGGGAAUAUUGCAUAAUGGGCUGAAGCCUGAUGCAGCAACGCCACGUGCGGGAUGACGGCAAUCGGUUUGUAAACCGCUUUCGCCUGUGAUGAGGCGAGAGUGACGGUAAUGGGUAAAGAAGCACCGGCUAAAUACGUG